UUCAGACGAUCAGUGAGAUACAGUAGGGUCGCGAGUCUUCACUCAACAUUUUCGCCAGUGGAUAUUGAUGGGACUCAUUGUUUGUUAUGCUGUCGUUCCGCUGUUAUUAUUGAAUAAAGCUAGCUAUGUUCUAUUCAGUUUGUAAUAAUUAAUAAAUUCUGGAUCAUACGUUGUAAUAAAUGAUGCACUUGUUAUUUGAUAUUCAUAUGUACUGUGUGUGCUAGCAAGUCGAUCCAGGGAUGAGCACAGUGAGCACAAAGACAUCGAAUCUUAUCAGGGAUGCUCGAUUUUGGUGGAACUGCACACAAACUUUGGGUGCUUCAUUGCCUCAACUGCUUCCUUCGUUUCUUGUCAGUUUCUUAUCUCGGCUUCCAGUCGAAGGAAAUAGUAAUUGAUAUGCUACCUCAUAAGAAUUUUGGCGAGCUACAGGACCAAGAUGAGCCAGUAAACUUGUUGGAUAAAAGUAGUGGCCAAGUUUCUCAAACCUCCCUCAGCAUCGAGGCCACUAUCUCGAGGAUAAACCUACAAGCAAAGUUCAGAUUGUCUGUGCUGCCUCUUAUGUACUCAAAAGUUUACUUGUACAAGCAUUAAUUUUAGCAAGAAGUACUUCCGACUGAACACCAUUUACCAGUAUGUACCCUAUGUAAUUAAAGUUUGUGCAUGGAUGAUAUUGGUUGUGAUCUCAAUCAUUUGGAUGCAUAAACAUA